rnacentral:rRNA from 2 species
GACGAACGCUGGCGGCGUGCCUAACACAUGCAAGUCGAGCGGGGAUAAUCCUUCGGGGUUAUGCUAGCGGCGGACGGGUGAGUAACGCGUGAACAAUCUGUCCUUCAGAGGGGGAUAACACAAUGAAAGUUGUGCUAAUACCGCAUGAGACCACGGGGGUGCAUACUUCUGGGGUCAAAGGAGGAAUCCGCUGAGGGGUGAGUUCGCGUCUGAUUAGCUGGUUGGUGAGGUAACGGCCCACCAAGGCGACGAUCAGUAGCCGACCUGAGAGGGUGAUCGGCCACACUGGAACUGAGAAACGGUCCAGACUCCUACGGGAGGCAGCAGUGGGGAAUAUUGGGCAAUGGGGGAAACCCUGACCCAGCAACGCCGCGUGAGGGAAGAAGGCUUUCGGGUCGUAAACCUCUGUCCUAUGUGAAGA